rnacentral:rRNA from 1 species
UACGGAGGGAGCUAGCGUUGUUCGGAAUUACUGGGCGUAAAGCGCGCGUAGGCGGCUUUGUAAGUUAGAGGUGAAAGCCCGGGGCUCAACCCCGGAACUGCCUUUGAAACUAGAUUGCUAGAAUCCUGGAGAGGUGAGUGGAAUUCCGAGUGUAGAGGUGAAAUUCGUAGAUAUUCGGAAGAACACCAGUGGCGAAGGCGACUCACUGGACACAUAUUGACGCUGAGGUGCGAAAGCGUGGGGAGCAAACAGG